rnacentral:misc_RNA from 2 species
AACGCAUAUUGCGCCCACUAGUAUUCUGGUGGGCAUGCCUAUUCGAGCGUCAUUUCAACCCUUAAGCCCUGUUGCUUAGUGUUAGGAGCCUACUACCUUACGGCGUAGCUCCCUAAAGGCAGUGGCGGUGUUAGGUACACUCGUAGCGUAGUAAUUCUUUUUCUCGCUCCUGCUGUGUACCUAGGGCCUGCCGUAAAACCCCUAUACUUCUAGUGGUUGACCUCGGAUUAGGUAGGAAUACCCGCUGAACUUAA